rnacentral:rRNA from 1 species
CCUACGGGAGGCAGCAGUGGGGAAUAUUCGUCAAUGGACGAAAGUCUGAACGAGCCAAGCAGCGUGAAGGAUGACUGCCCUAGGAGUUGAAAACUUCUUUUAUAUGGGAGUAAAACAGUGUAUGCAUACCCUCUUGUAUGUACCAUAUGAAUAAGGAUCGGCUAACUCCGUGCCAGACCCCGCGGUAAUGCGGAGGAUCCGUGCGUUAUCCUGAUUUAUUGUGUUUAAAGGGAGCGUAUGUGGAUUGGUAAGUCAGUUGUGAAAGUUAGCGGAUGAAACGUAAAAUUGCAUUUGAAACUGGCAGUCUUGAGUGAAGUAGAGGUGAGCGGAAUUCGAGGUGUAGCGGUGAAAUGCGUAGAUAUCACGAAGAACACCGAUGGCGAAGGCAGCUCACUGGAUUGCAACUGACACUGAGGCUCGAAAGCGUGGGGAGCAAACAGGAUUAGAUACCCGAGUAGUC